AUGCUUACAUGGCGGGAGAGAUACCGUGAUGUUGAGGGUGGUUUUUCCCAGGACAAGGCUUAUCCAUGGCACUCUGAAUGUCCUGGCUCCUGUGAUUCCCCCAAAUGGGGGAAACUUGACUGCAUAAUUUGUGUGUGUGGGGUUGUUUACACCAUGCUCUAC